rnacentral:rRNA from 1 species
UACGUAGGGUGCAAGCGUUGUCCGGAAUUAUUGGGCGUAAAGAGCUCGUAGGCGGUUUGUCGCGUCUGCUGUGAAAACUCGGGGCUUAACCCCGGGCCUGCAGUGGGUACGGGCAGACUAGAGUGCGGUAGGGGAGACUGGAAUUCCUGGUGUAGCGGUGAAAUGCGCAGAUAUCAGGAGGAACACCGGUGGCGAAGGCGGCCAUCUGGGACAACACUGACGCUGAGGCACGAAAGCGUGGGGAGCAAACAGG